GUCCUCUUGCUUAUUUUGGAGGUCUGACCUGCCCAGUGAAAAUUUUUAACGGCCGCGGUAUUUUGACCGUGCAAAGGUAGCAUAAUCAUUAGUCUUUUAAUAGGGGGCUGGAAUGAAAGGUUUAACGAAUCAUUAGCUGUCUCAUUUUUAUAAUUUAAAACUUAAUUUUUAAGUUAAAAAGCUUAAAUGUUGUUGGAGGACGAGAAGACCCUAUAGAGCUUUAUAUUAAUUUUUUUAAUAAAAUGUUGAUUUAUAUCUUAGGUAUUAAAAUAACUUAUUAUUUUGUUGGGGUGACAAAAAUAAAUAAUUAACUGUUUUAUUGUUUAAACAUAGAUUUAUGAGUUUUUGAUCCAUUAUUAUUGAUUAUUAGAUUAAGUUACCUUAGGGAUAACAGCGUAAUCUUUUUUUGGAGUUCAAAUUUACAAAAAGGCUUGCGACCUCGAUGUUGGAUUAAGAUUAUAAUCUGGUGCAGUAGCUAGAUUAAUAGGUCUGUUCGACCUUUAAAUUCUUACAUGAUCUGAGUUCAGACCGG
rnacentral:rRNA from 1 species